rnacentral:tRNA from 1 species
UUAAAUGAAGCAUUUUUAAAUGCAUUUAACUGUUAAUUAAAAGAAAGCUAUUUUCAGAGCCAUUUAAA